AAAUUGAAGAGUUUGAUCAUGGCUCAGAUUGAACGCUGGCGGCAGGCCUAACACAUGCAAGUCGAGCGGUAGCACAGAGAGCUUGCUCUCGGGUGACGAGCGGCGGACGGGUGAGUAAUGUCUGGGAAACUGCCUG
rnacentral:rRNA from 2 species